rnacentral:lncRNA from 1 species
GGCACUGUUACCGCUCACAGCCCGUGACCUACCUCUGGGCCCAGCCACUGUGAGCAGCUCUUAACAUCCCUUCACCCUCACGGGUUCCAGGCAGGAUUUGUCCCCUUGGGUUCUCGUCAAACGCAUCCUUCCCCAAGUGGAUUUGGCCCAAAUUUCCCUUAGGAAAUUAGGUCGCCUCCCCCACUGCUCGAACCCUUGACCUCCCACUUUAAGGGAAUAGUCUGGUGAGAGUGAGUACCAAUUGUUCCAA